CCUCUACAUUAAAUAGCUUAAAGCAUGUGCCCGUGUUGUUUUCCAGGAAUAUCAACUCUAAAAAAGUUUCCACCCCACUGCAAAGUAAUCUCCAUUUUGGUGUGAUAACCUUGCUAUAAUCUUCACCCCAAUUAAUGGUGAGGCUUAUUCAGUCUGCAGAUGUGCUGUUGUCUCCACCUCCCACCCAGUACUGUUUGACAACAACUAGUAUCUUUUCUGGCACCAGGGGUCCAUCCUCAUGAUCCAUCAUGUUGGUAUUCCAUCGCAUGCCUUUGGCGAUCUUCUUCACCUUGAUGAGGACAUCUACUUCAUCACGGAACAUGACUGCUCCUUCUGGCCGCAAGAUCCUAUCCAUCUCCAGAAGGAUGUCUUCCAGUUUGCACCUGUUUACACAUUUUCGGUUAUAUUUCAUCAGACCUCAGUACAAGUGUAGACUUUUAUUUCCCAUCCACCAAGUCAUCUUUCAAAUCUAAGCAGGAUUACUAUUGUUUAUUUUUUUAAAUUUUUGAAACUAUUGGGCUGUUUCGGGAUAAAAAUUCUUGAAGACACAGACCAAAUGUGAUUAAAAUAUGGCAUUCAGCAAGAGGAGGAAGAGGCUUACGUGUUCUGGUACAAGCUGAAUACACCACUGGCAUGGAUGAAAUCGUAUGUCCUCGGGUAAGUAGAAAAGCCUUCACACCUGAAAGGAUCAGAAGUAAAAUUUUCAUUGAGAUUCCAAAAUAAAUAAUUGGCUGCAAUAUGGGAUAAAUUGGCAUAUGAAAUGGAAACAGUAGACAAGAAUGAACUAUUUGUACUUCCCAAGAUUUGAUUGAGAAGAAUCUGAAAGGGUUUUUACCUUAGAAUGAACCACCUCUAAGUAACCUAUUUAUUUUGUUAUAAUAUUUGAAAAGGCAAAUCUCUAGUGCCAUAUUCAAAUGAAUUCAACAUCCAUAAACCGCCCGCCCCAUAAUCAUAGUAAUUGUUGAUGACAACAGUGCAAUAUCACCAAGAAAGUGCCUGAAUAUUUGAAGAGAAGUGUCUAAAGCUACUAUAAGAUAAAUCAGACUCAUCUUUACCAAUGCAUGGACAAAUAUUCAUGCUACAAAAUCUCACUUCAUCUCAGCAUGAUGACAAGUAACAUGAUAAAGCAGAGAGAGAAUAUUCAUAAGGACAUACCAGUCAUGAUAUAUACCAAUCAGGCCUCUCUCGUAAAUGACACCUAAAGUGUUCUUGGCAAUAGUAGGCACAACAUUCAUCACCCACGAUUUUGGUGAUUCA
rnacentral:lncRNA from 1 species